AAAAAAAAAAAAAAAAAAAAAAAAAAAAAAAAAAAAAAGGGAGGGAGGGAGGGGGAAGGGAAGUUGACCUUAACCAUGGUAUCAAAGUCAACCUUAUCAACGGUGACACUAUGUGCCUCCAGAGUGAUAUAGUGAGGACACAAUGUACCCUGGGUGACUUGUCUAACGAAGCACACAACUUGAGUACCACAGGAGGAAACAUCAAACAAACCAACGGGGAGGAGCUUCUCCAUCGUGACUGCCUAGUAUUCUUCCAACAAUGCCAUCAAAUGCACAGGCAGGGGAGGGGAGGGGUUGGAGGAGAGGUGUCUACCCCAAAGAGUACUCCAAAAAACCCUAUGAAGACAAUUUUUAUGAGCCUCCAGAACAAAAGUUUAUUUAAUUAUGGAGUUACCCUACUGUGGGGAUCAUGCUUACCUCAGGGGCACGGGAUGCCAAAUAAAAAGCCCAGUGCUAAUGUGUGGGGGCACCUCCCCUCAAAUUUGUGGUUAGAGAUGUUCCGGAAACACGCAAAACACUAUGGACUAUUAUUGCUGCUUUUGGUUGCCUGACAGAAUUUGAUGGUAAGGCCCCACUGUUGAAGACCAUUGCUGAAGGUCCCACAUUCACUGGUCAUAGGACAUGGAAAAAUCAUGUGGGUACUGACAGAAAGCUUCCUACCUCUAACACUAGUCAUCAGAGUACCAGCAUGCUGUGCAGAUUGCUAGGAGGAAAAGUCAUCAAGUCUCACCCAGCUGUUUACUCUGUGAGCUGCAAAUAGCAACUGGCACUGCAAGACAUGCCAGUGGAUGAAACAGUGCCACCAGUGUCAGCCAGGUGACCAACUGCUUUCUGAUUGCAUAAGACAUGCCAGUGGAUGAAACAGUGCCACCAAUGUCAGCCAGGUGACCAACUGCUUUCUGAUUGGUUAAGACAUGCCAGUGGAUGAAACAGUGCCACCAAUGCCAGCCAGGUGACCAACUGCUUUCUGAUUGCAUAAGACAUGCCAGUGGAUGAAACAGUGCCACCAAUGUCAGCCAGGUGACCAACUGCUUUCUGAUUGGUUAAGACAUGCCAGUGGAUGCCAACAGUGGCACCAAUGCUAGGGAGGUGACCAAUUGCUUUCUGACUGGAUGUAAAGCCCACUUCACAGGAGGAGAUUUAUACCUGGUAACUACAUGUCUAGCCAAGAAGCCAUGGUUGGGGAGCUCCAGACUGGGGGGGGGGUGCAUCUAUUAUGAUUAAACGGCCCCACAGCCAGAAAUGUCAAAGGAUUAUUAAAAUAACCCCCCAAAAGGACACAAGCGACGAGAGUGUAGGGAAGUGAGGAUGACCUGGGAGAAAUUAAGGGGAAGAACUGGGAAUGAUUAUGAUGAAAAGUUACUGUAUGUAAUUACUUUUAAAAUAAAAAUAUUUAUUUAAAAAUACCUGGUGUAUAGCCAGAGCUGUUUGAUUUCCCAUCUUUUAUUUGUUUUUUAGUGAUAGUCAGAAAAUGGGAAGGUGUGCAGCAAAAAGGUCUUUGGGGUAUGACAUGGACACUGCACUGAAGAGCUUGCUGAAGCUGUUUGCUUACACCUACCCACAAAGAUUUGGCUUCUCAACAUUUCACCAUGGCUACAGGAGGGAUCCAUGACACCACUCCUGCACAGUUCCUCUCCUCCUGUCUUCAUACGCAAAGGAUGCCUACUGGACACUAGGAUUAACUGAACACUCAUAUCACUGGCCUUUGAAGGUAGAGGCACUUAAGAAUUAACAUUAACUUUGUGGUAACAUGAAAGCAAAAAAAAAUCUGGCUGAGUUAAUCCUGAUGAUAAUGUUACAGUUCACCUUUUAUGAAACAUUUCUCAAAGUGCUGAAAGUUAUUUUAAAGAAUGAAUAAACAUCAGACCUUUAUCCUAGAAUUAUGAUCAUCCUUGGUAUCCGUGUGGGAUUGGUUUCAAGACACAUCCAAUACCCAAGUCUGCAGAUGCUAAAGUCUACUACUAAUCAUGUGGCCUAGUGUGUGCUUGUAUCUUCCAACACACCUUAAAUGACCUUUUAUAAUGUACAUGGCACAUAUAAACAGUUAUUCUGCAUUGUUCGGGAAAUGAUUCAAAGGCUGUAUAUGCUCAGUACAAAUGCCAAGAUUUUCCCCCAACUAUUUCUAACUGCUUGGUUGAAUCCAUAGAUGUAUUAUUAAAAAAAAUAAUCUACCACUCAAGAUGAUCAUAUUGUUAUUACAUGGAAACGAUUAAUAGCAUAGGUAUUUAGAAUUUACUCAAUAAGGUUUUAACUGUCACAUAAAAUUUGGGAAAACUCAAGUAACUUAAAGAAAAAAAAAACAAAUACCCACAAAAAUGGAAGCACAAUGUACUGAUGAAUGACCAUGAUGACACCACUCAGGAAGCAUAGGCUAGAGGGUUGAGAUCCCAACCUGGGCUAUGUAGAAGACCACGCCUAAAAGAAUCCAAGUGCAGAUAUUACUGCUGAGUGAGUGUUUACUUCCAUAUCCACUCUCCAUAGACAUUUUUAACUCACUGUCUUACUUUAGAUCUGUAUUUUUUACUCAAUUUAAUUCUAAACCCCAAACCAUCUUCUCUGUUCAUACUGUGGCCCGAAUUCUUCACAGAUUUCCUAUUUCCUUUCUUACUAAAAGUGGUAUAAAUACAUCUUCAGCGUACACUGAGUUCUGUUUGGCAUCUUCUGGACUUUUCUACCUAAAUGAACUCCAAGAUUCCCUCUCAUCCCCAGAGGACAAAGCAUCUCUUUCUCCAAGAGAAGACAAAUUCUUACAUCUUCCUUUGUGCUUUCCUGUCUUUCUAAGUAUCAGCCCCCAUCGAAUCUCUCCCUCCCCACAGCAACUCCAAAGUACUUUCUUACAACCAAAAUCUCUACUGAGUUAAGGGGCACAAAGCUCAUUUUCCCUACGGACUGCUUUGCCACUCCCUCUACCAAUGUAUUUAAUGAAAUCCUCCCUCAUACAUAGUACUGGGAGGAAAGGGCUUUAGAAAUAAUCAAGGUUAGUUAAUUAAGGGAAGGAGGUGGAGCGCUCAGAGAUGGAGUUAGUGACCUCUGGAGAGAUACCAAGGAAGAUUUUGGCUGGGCAGAAAGAGUUCAGGGAGCCCAAUGGAGGGCAGCCUGGGCUAUUAUGUGCCAACACCUGUCUCACAAACAACAAACCACACACAGAGUGCCUGCUUCCUCUCCACUGUAUCAAGGGCACAGCAAGAAGGUAUCACUAUGAGCCAGGAAGCUGGUCUUCAUCAGACAAGAAUCUGACAGUCUCUUGAGCUUGGGCUUCCAGAACUGUAACACGCAAAUAGUUGCUGCUUGUGAGCCCCGCAGCCCUGCAUGGGUAGCAUUCAGAAAAUAAAAAUUAAAAAGGCUUCCCUCUAUUUUACCUCCAUGCUUCUUUCUCAUUUCUUUAGGGCAAAAGAAGAGUGUCUUGUCAAGUUAGUAAGACCAACAGAGCUGAGCAACAGACAAACACCUAAAGAUUAUGGGCCUCUCAGAAGCAGGUGCAAUUGGCUAUUCUCCAACCUUUACCAAAGCUCCUCUUUCCUAUCCCUUCCAGAUUGUUCCAACUGGCUUCCCUCUGCCCAACUGCCAGGUUCUCCUAGUGAGAACCUACUCUCCCACCCCAAACAAAGCAACUCUUGAGUUGGAAAUAGCAAAAUUCUUGUAAACUUAUGUAACACUGGUCUCUCAACCCGUUAAAGAACAGUAAUUGAGAAGAGCACCCCUCCAAGUCCCAAUUUGAUUAUUACUGAAGGGGCCCUUCUACCAGAUUUGAAAUUUGGAAUACCUGCCCUUGAGUAUGUACCCACUUCAGUCAGCUGAGAUGCAAACACUAGGCCUGGGGGCACGAAUGAAGCCCUGGCUCAAUGGGAAUUGUAUCCCAUGCCUGGAAGGAACCUUACUCAGUAAUUCAGUUCCAAAGAGGUCAAACACCAAUCCACAUCUGAUAAUGUCUAAGUCACAACUACUAUCAACUCCAACACUAGUCUCAUGUUGCUAGUAUUCUAUGUCCAAUUCUCCUGAGUUUUUGAUAGAAGGAGGAAUUCAAUUGUGCCACUAACCAGCUAUGUCAUUUGACGUCAACUGUGUGACCUAGGAGUAACAGAACUGAAGUCCCUUAGCUCUGAAGGUCAUUAUGACUAGACUGUAUUGCCAUCCUUGACAGAGAUGUUUAAUACAAAUUUAAUACAAAUUUGGUAUGUUCUUCAUACCAAAUACAGUUUAAGCAAUUUAAAAAUAUUACUUGAACACAAACAACAUUUUUUGUUCAACAAAUUCUUCAUUAAAAACAAUCCUAAAAUUUGUUACUUAAAAAGAUGGCUUAAAUCCUGGCAGGAUUCUACUUUAAUGCCUAUUGAAGAACACGGUAUACAUUUAGCAUGUACUUUCCACCCAACACGGGAUUAACCUAUAUCAACCAUUAAAACUUCAGAAAUACUUCCUAUUCAUUACUAUGUGUCAGCAUGAAUGUUUAGAGACUACAGCAAUCAACAUUAAAGUCAAAGCUAUCUUUAGCUUUAAAGGGUCAUCAGUUUGGGGGUAGGGGUCGUAUGGGAACUGCCAGAAUGUUUCUAGGCUAUUUAUCUGUUUUGUGCUAUGAAGAAUCAAACCCAGGGCCUCAUGAAUACAAAGCGAACACUCUACCAAUGGAGUUAUUUUUAUCUGCAGUCCUAGAAAGAGCAAAUGGGAAAGACAAAUAGAACCCACAAAUAGAUAGAUAGAUAGAUAGAUAGAUAGAUAGAUAGAUAGAUAUACACACAUAUAAAUUUGGGAAACCGAGUAAGAAAAGGAAAGAGGCAGAAAGAAUGACGGGGGGGGGGGGCGCAAAGCAGGGCACGCUGAGAGCCACAGCGGACCACAAAACUUUUAGAUGCAUUCUCUACACAUUCAAAGCUUUUUAUUCGUUUUCUUUUGGGACAGAAAGUGUAACCGAAGAGAUCAUGUUCAUUUGUACAUUUUAGUUAGGCUCCAUACUGAAAACUAGAAAAACUCUGAUUAAAAAGUAACUCAUUUCCACAACCCCAAAUUUGCAUGAGGGGGGUUACCUGCCAUGUCCCCGAGCCCACAGGUUCCUGGAGAACAACCUCCCUCGAGCUUACAGCUCUUACUCCUGAAGGGCGCCGCAGUAUGUCAGCAAGUAUUACAUAAAGUCACACAAUUACAGGUCUGUCCUUGCAACCAAGUGGUACCCUCCAACGGUAACAAAAUGCAGCGAGCGUACAGGCGUUUCCAGUCGACUCUUGGGAUUCUGCUGCAGCUUUCCUCUAAACUGCAGGGUCACUUAGACAGAGAAUGUGCCUAGGAUAUCAUGUCACAACCAGGUCCCUAACAAAGAAACAAAUACUCCACAGCUAUCAUCGGGAGAUCACUAUAAUGUCACUGGAGACCAGGUUUGCCAUCUGGAAUCCCAAAUGAUCUUUUUAGGUUUUGUGGUGCUGGGGACUGAACCCGAGGUCCACACUAUGCACGCACUGCCCCUGCUGAGUAGCACCCCAGCUCUGACCUUGUAUUUGUAAAAAUCUCUCAUCUUGAAAAAAUCCUGCAAAUAGUAUGAAAUGACCAACUAGGACAAUGGUUCAUUAAGGCAAAGAAGUCCUUGUUGCACGUGGCUCAUUAGAUAGCUACAAAGAUGGGUGGCCUUGGCUCCUCUUCCAGAAUUAAAUUAGCAGCAGGAAAAAAAAAAUCUCAACUUGAACUCCCUAAAAGUGGGAGCCAAGAAGGGCUCUGGGCAUACUUUCCCAUGAAAACAAAAGGAAGAUUUUUAUUAAACACACGCAUAAUAACGCUCCGCAGAGCAAAAGCGUAAGGUAUGAAGUUCAAAGAUGAAAAAUUCAAAAAAAAGAUGGCUAGGAAUGGCCUUUAAAAAUAUUUUACUUCUUUCUUCCUAUCAAACUUGAGCAUUCUCAGUCAAGAAAUGCUUCUGACAAAGUUUAUAUACAACAUAAAAUUCUGAAAAUGUUAAAAAAAGAAAGCAAAGUCAAAGGAACAUAAAUAAGUCUUAGACAAAGGUGAUUAAUUCAGCCUUCUUACCACAACUACAACUAACCCAGAUGGAAAGCACUCCAAGCUUUUUUUUUAAAGCACCAACAGUAUUGCAAUAGAUGAAUACCAUGAUAAUGGUCAGCAAGCAGGGACAACUGUCAAUGGCCUUGACCACAGACAGAUAGAUAAGGAGCCUGGUGUAGUUGUGGACAAAGGGAUUCCUUACUGACAAGAAUUCCCCCGAAAAUAGGACACAAGCACUCAAGGUCACAGGCCACGUACAAGUGUGAAAAGACAGACCUGGGAUACUACUUUAUUAAGUGUGUGUACAAGAAGUAACAGAAACACUAGGCUGGUUCCCAGACACUCUCUCAGUUGUUAAAACACCAUCACUGCAAAGGCUCUAGAAGCCUUUACAAGUCUGUCCUGAGAAGACACCUCCCUCCUGGGAGCCAAAAGAGCAGCAGAAAUCACCCAAAUCCUGGUGGAUGACCUUUCCUGGAUACAGGGUUCCCCUUCAACUGCCAGGACUCUGCAAAUGUAUGUAGAGAGUGCCCUUGGGAUCCACCCGAGGAGGAGGGAGAGGGCCAAAGAGAUGCAUAUUCAAGCAAAAAGUGGGAAAAUCUAUAGUGCCGUCACAAUUCCUUUGUGACAGAACCUGUAAUAAAUAGUAUAGAAUUUUGGAAAAAGAAAACUACAAAGUUCAAAGAGGUAAAUCAGGAAUGUGAAUAAUACUAAUGACAAACGUGUAAUUAAGCAUUCUCACCAUAGCAGUAAUUAAACUCCUUUAAGAAUUCUGGAUUCUCUCACCUUGGUCCCUACAUCAACCAAGACCCCUCUCUUUCUUUCCAUUAUCAGCCAUGUGCAAUAACCACACACUUCUGUGAGGGUCUGCAACCUACCACUGUACCAACAGAUUCCAUUUGACAUCUGAGGGCCAGGAAGUCCAUCGCCCAUCCAAACUCUCCCCAAGGAACAGAAAGGGAAGAGAGCACUUUUCCCAGGGCCUCAGAGCCCAUGGGAACAGCGGUGAGUAACCAAGCAGCCACAAAUCACUGUCAAAAGGAUGGUCAAUAUUACAUCUCAAUGUUCAAACUAAGAUCAGCUGCAGCACAGGAAGAGAACUGGCAGCCAGAGAAAGAGUGUGCGUGGAGAGGUAGAAUCAUAAGACCUACAGGGCAGCUCUGGCCAGCCAGCACUCUCGGGAGAUGCUGCAUGCCUAGCCAGGACAGAGCCAGAGUUCUCACAGGUUAGCAUAAACAAACUGAAAGAAACUGAGGCAGAUGCUCCCAAACAGAGCUCUUUAUUAAAAGACAAGAAAAAAUAGUAACUGUCCAUAACAUUUUAACUCUAAAGCAUAGUUAAAGUUAAAACUUUAACAAAGAUUUGUUGUUGUUGCUGCUGCUGCUGCUGCUGGUGUACGUGUGCAAAUAUGUAAGUAUAUAGGCAUGUUCCUAGGCCAGAGGUCAAUCUUGGAUGUCCUUCCUGAGGUAGUCACCUUGGGCUUUAUUUUUUAGAGACAGAUCUCUCACCAGGACCUGAGACUCACUGAUUAGGUAGAUUGAACAGCCAGCAAGGAUCUAUCCUAGUGCUAAGAUUAGAAAAGUGUUCCAUGAUGCCUUCCACAUGGGUUUGGGGCUCAAGGCCUCAUACUAAUCAUUUUACCAACUUAGCUAUCUGCCACCCCCAACCCUCAGGAGGUUUUUCAAAGCUCUCCUUUCAUGCAGUUCCUCAUGUGGUAGUGACCCCAACCAUAAAAUUAUUUUCAUUGAUAUUUCAAUAUUUGUUGCUACUUCAAGUUUUGCUACUGUUUUGAAUCAUGGUGUAAAUGUUUUCUCAUGUUCUUAGGAGACCACUGUGAAAGGGUCAUCUGACCUCCUCAAAGGGGUUGAGACCCACAAGUUGAGAACCACUGCUCUAGGGUAAGAAGGAAAAAGGACACUCAAGGAAGGACCAGGAGAAGGAAUCCUACAGCAGCCCAUGACAAGUGACUCUCUGGGUCCCAGCACUCUCAGCCUGCCAACCUCAGCAUCUAAAACUGUGUCACAGAUUUACCUGCCAAGAGGUAACUGUGUAGUGGUUUGUGCUUCUAAUUCUUGCACUUAGGAGGACUGCUGCUGAGUUUGAAGGUGGGUUGGGCUACGUGAGUUAAGUUCCAGGGACUCCUGGGCUGUAGUGUGAGAGAGCCUGUGUCAAAAGAAAAUGAAAUCUAAAGAGUGAAUUGCAAAGAACACGUCCAGGUGUCUGAGUCAGUAAUAACUCCAUCCCCCUUCAUCAAACACAAGGAAAAAAAGGCUCUAGAUCUCAGUAGCACAUCUUUUCAAAAUCAGAUUCAAACCCAGAGCUCUAUCUAUGAAAGUCUAAAACCCAGUCACAUGCAUAUAAAAUCAGCUCCAAGAGUGUAAGUUUCAGUAUUUCCUAAGAGCAGUUACAAAACACAGGAUUUCAAGAUAAAACUAAACCUUGUGCAGAGGAGCCGGGCUGGAGGCGGCAGCUUGCUGUGGCCCACUGGAAUCCAUCAGACACACUCCGGAAGAAGUGGUACGCCUGCCUUCCAGAAACCUGACUUAAGCAUGUUAACUUAAAGCCAUCUAAAAAUGUAAGCACUGGCUCCAAGGAGAACUUUGGAAAGGGUCUAACAUGAAUUAAGUAACAGCACAUGGUGACAGUCACACAAAGUAAGGCUCACAAUCAUUUUAUCACAAUUUAGUGCUGCUAUAAAUGGUUUCGUUAAUUAGUCUUCUUAAUGUUCUAAAAUCUUAGAAGAUCUCCUCGCCGUCACCAGUCCCCCUCCUCCUCACACGUCCCACUUGAUUUCCCUCUCAGAUGAGGUCUUACAUACUUCCCUUGGGGAUCACUUUGCUGUCCAAUGAAUUCCCUCAUGUAAAGGAUGCUGUGAAAUCUUACUUCGGCCCAUUUCAGACUUGAAAAUCACCUGAUCAUUUGGAAUGUCUCCAGAGCCCUUGUCCUCUCAGAAUCCACAUCUGAGUGCCUCCCCAGCACUCCAAGAACACUCCUCUGCCUGCUCUAAGACUACUCUCUGCUAUCCCGACCCCUGGCUACCAGAUUCCAGCCCCACAGGCCUCGUUUCCAAGCCUCGGUGCCGCUACUACCUGUGACCACAGCUGUGAGCUAUGGGCUGAGAGUGCUCUGACUUCCCACAUGUCUGCAAAUACAAUAUGGGGCGUCUCCUUCAUGUUCUCAUGUUCAUCCCUAAGUCAGCUGUUCUCAGAGGACUUUUAUGUUACUGCUAUCGCUGCUCAGUACAGACCCAAAGCUAUGUAUUUUCACCUGGGAAAAAAUAUCUGUGUGUCAUAGACCCACUUUCUUCAGUGAUCUCCCAAUACUGUUGCUACUACCACUCUGCAAAUUAAAAGUUAAAUUUGCGGGGCUGGAGAGAUGGCUCAGAAGUUAACAGCUUGCUGCCCUUCCAGAGGACCCAGGUUCAACUCCCACCCACCCACAUGGUGGUGCACAACCAUCUAGAAUAGUGAGAUCUGGUGCCCUCUUCUGGCCUGCAGGCAGAACACUGUAUACUGUAUACAUAAUAAAUAAACCUUUCAAAGGAAAAAAAAAGUCAAUUUGCAGCCUGGAGAUGACUCUGUGGUUAAGAGCACUGCCUGCCCCUCCAGAAGCUAGAAGUCCAAUUUCCAGCACCCACAUGGCAGCUCACAACCAACUGUAACUCCAGUUGCAGGGCACCGUCUGGCUUCUGACACCCUCUUCUGGCUUCCUCAGGAACUGCAUGUACAUGGUAUACUGACAUUACACACGCAGGAAAAAAUAUCCAUACAUGUUAAAACAACAAAAGAACGGAAAGGCAAUUGGUUAGUAUUUAGUACAUUAAAGAUAAACCAGCAGCUUACAACUUUGUCAUUUACCAUAAGAAAUAUUUUAAUAGACAAGAUCUAAGUAGCCCUGGCUGUCCUGUAACUCCAUAUGUAGACCAGGCUGGUCUUGAACUCAGUGAUCUGCCUGCCUCUGCCUCCCAAGUGCACACGAGUGCGUGCGUGCAUGUUAACAAUCACAGAGUAGAGAAAAGUUACCUAAUUUAAUGUGUGAUCCUUUGAGGAUCAUGGGUGGCAAUCCUGGGAAUCUUAGUAUACAUUAUUGAUCCUACCCUAGACCUAUCUAGGCAGAAGGCCUGGGAAGCCAAAGAUUCUAACAAAGCCUCUGUAGAUGAGAAAAUCAUGGGUCCAAUGUAACCAACUCCAUGAAGAAUUGAAGCCAAUCACCUCAUCAUAUUCAUUUGUUUGCUUUUGAGAAAGUCUCACCAUGUAGGUUAGCCUGGAAAUUGUGAUCCUCUGCCAGGAUGGUCACUGGAAACACACCCAUCUUCCUUAAAUUCUUAUACCAACUUAGUGACCAUGGGCACUCACUGUAAACAGUUCUCAGUAGGCUCAAAGUGACUCUUUAAUGAUAUACCUGAAUCCAAUUAGUCCUAUGGGUUCUCAUAGGCAAACUCAUCUAGAUUUUUACAUUGUCAAUCUAACAGCAGCACCAGACACUUAGACACAGACAAAUAUAAACUAUACUAAGUAAAUUAUAUUGAAUACCUAAAAAGCAGCCUACACGACUGACCUCUAACACGUCAAGUUAACACGGGCUCCCUUUCAUGUGUUUAGUUAGGCUCACUUCUGUUGCUAUCAGUAGUGUUUGCUUCUGUCUUAUUAAGGUUGUGUUUUGGUUUUGUUUCUAAGGCAACAGCAGGAAUUACUGGAACACUUGGUUACAAGUCUGAGAAGCUUGCACUUAUUUAUGUGUUAUUAUUUAUACCCCAUCAGCCAGGCAUAGUGGCACACACUUUUGAUCCCAAAGGGACCCCCCUUGGAAGGCAGAGGCAGGCCAGUCUGUCUGUAUAGUGAGCUCCAGGGCUACAUGGUCAGACCCUGUCUCAAAAAAAGACAAAAAAAAAAUCACUCCAUAAUUAUUUAAACCUAACCAUGAAGGACAGACAGACAGGAAUUCCUUAAGAGAAUGCUGCCCAUCACCAGCUCACAUUCCACCUUGGGAGUGUUCCCUAUGGCUUUUGACUUUGUUUUGAGUGACAGGUUAGUAUUUCCGAUUGUUAUAGGCAAACUAGUUUUCACUGUGGGACAUACAGUGGGACAGAAAGACAGGCUGACACCAGGAGUUCUAUGGGAUAAAGCAGGCUUAAAAGACAAGCAUUCAUCAUAGCAUCAAGUAGGCUCGUCUGAGUGGACUAUGUACCAAAAACCACCAUCUGCAUCAUUGACCAUCGCCAGCACUCUAACACACUUAAGAAAACUCCAGGUUUUCACCUUCCAAGGUCUUGUUCUAACCACGUUUGCCAUAUCCUACAUAGUUUUCAUGUAUUUCCUAGUAGUUAAAAAACUUGCGUCUGCCUCUACCUUAAACACCCUCUUGGAGAAGUUUCUAACUUGGGUGUUACAAUGAGACUGAAGGGUUAUGAAAUAAAGAGUCCACACCAAUACUCAAGUUGUUUUCUCAAUGUCACUCCAAGCUUGGAGUUACAUUUCUGGUCUUUGUUUUAGAAUUAUUAACAAAUAUAAUUAUUAUUAUUUUUUAUUUCAUGGGCCAAAUUAACUAAUACUUGUCAAUGCAUGGAUUUCAUUUUCUUUCAGGAAGUACAGGGACGGUCGUAACACAACCAAAAUACAAGCUUCCUUUUCUCUGGGUGUAUAUUCUUCUCAGAAACUUCUGACCUGUACACCACACCUUGUGACUAUAUUUAAUCUGCCAUCAAAUAAGGGUGACAGCUCCUGCUCUGAAUCUUACAGGAAAGAAAUCAAGGUCACACUUAACCAGAAUGCCUUGGAAGAACUGUGACAUCAGAGUCCCUAUCCUCAGCCCUCUCUUCCACUCCUUAACAUUAGCUCUGCGGCUGCAAUGACAUCACCACUACUAACCCACUCAACAAAUAUUUGAGUGUUCCUGUUGUCAAGCACUGUGCUAAGCAGUGGAGACAUAACCAUCAGCAAGACAAAUACUGCCCGGCCCCUACAACACAUUUGAAAAAAAAAAAAAAUCCGGAUUCAACUUGUGAGGCAUUCAUUUGGUUUAUGCACCGAUUACUCCUAUCCAUUUGUAAAUAAUUACUCAUUAUUACAGCUAUUCCCUACAUCUCCACUCUGCUCCUAGAAGGGAGAGACCACAUAAAGUACAAGGACAGCUUACAUAAUAACACAGAUGUUCUGCAGAUGAGGGCCUCACCCAGGUCAGAAAAAACGUCAUGAGCAAGUACCUAUAAUCUAGGCACGAGAAGCAUGUGUGCCAAUGCUCUAGAACCGCCAAUGUUUUUCUUUUAAAGGUACCCUACCCUAGCUAAAAUGUUUGCUCAUUACAUGUUAGAUUCAGAGAGGAAAAAAAAAAAAAAAACCCUCCAUGAUGUCCCAUGCUGUAGCCACCAGUGGCUAUCUAAAUUUGGAUUUACUUGACGUUCAAUUCCUGUGUCACACAAGCCACAUUUAAGAUGUAAACCACUUGAGGGCCUCUAUCAGGUACCAGACUGCAGAUAGCAGCCUCAGAAAUCGCUUCGUCAUCUCAGAAAGCCCUGAAAGGCAGAGGGGCUCUCACACAUCUCUCUAUAUUAAAUCAGAAAAUUACAGUGUAAUGAAAUGUGAUGAAGCAUGUGUCCUACCAGAGCACAUAAAAGCACGUCUGCUGGUAAUGGGUGCCAUUUCUUUCUCCCCAAAUAAGGGGGUAAGUGGAAACAGCAGCAGGCUGCUCUUCCAGUAGGUAUCAGGACAAAAAAACACCGUCUAAGGGGCCAGAAAAAAAAAAAGCAAAACUGAAAACAGGGGAAAGUCACUGUAUGUCACCAUCAUCUCUAUUCCAUUUAUAAGAAUGCAUUAGUGGUAUCGUACUCUGUGUUUCCCACAAAAGUACGACAGCUCAUAGCAGAGGUAGCUUCAAAAUGGAAGUGGGUAAGGGAGGCAAAACAAAUACAAGAGAAGUUAAUGGCGGCCAAUGUAAAGAAUUUAGCGUCAAUGCGCGCCACACUGAUACACUGAUUUAAAAAAAAAUCAUUCCUUAACUUUGAAGAGAACAAUCUUUUGUUAAAGACCUCCAACGUGACAAAUAUGAUAAGCCCUAUCUGACAAAAAUGAGCCAAGGAUGUGCACAAGACAUAAUAUGUUACAUUUAUUUAAAAAGUUGGAGGCUGGAGAGAUGGCUCAGCAGUAUUGGCUGCUCUUUCAAAGUUCAAUUCCCAGCACCUACACGGUGGCUCACAACUGUCUUUUACUAUAUUCUCGUGGGAUUCAAUGCCAUCUUCUGGUGUACAGAAGCAUAUGCAGACAAAACACCCAUUUACAUAAAUCAAUUCACUUUAGACAACAGAGAAUGUUCCUGAAGGAGGUACUAGAGAACAAACAAGCCCUCUUAACAGCUAUGCAGAGUCCCUAAACCAGUGGUUCUCAACCUAUAGACUGUGACCCUUUUCUGUGUGUGUGGGGGGGAGUCAACCGACCCUUUCAGGGGGUUGCCUAAGACCAUCGGAAAACACAGAUAUAUACACUAUGAUUCAUAACAGUAGCAUAAUUAAAGUUAUGAAGUAGCAACCUGAGGAACUGUAUUAAAGGGUCGCAGCAUUAGGAAGGUUGAGAACCACUGUGCCUAAAUGGUCUGACAAUGCUGAAGAAAAAUGUCUGUCACUCAUGGUGGUGACACCAGGAUAGACAGAGAAGGAUUUAUCCCAAACCAGGGAAGCUCGUGUUUAUGUUGCGUUGGCCUGGGUGGGUCUUCCAGCUCGGCUCACCAAACUGCAGAAAAUGUGAACAUUAACCUUAAAAUCUUGAUCUCUAUUACACUUACCUGUGUUCACCAUGCGACAAACGCUAUUGGGUGGCAAUCAUUAGUGCAUAUUCAGAGUUGAUUAGGACACAAAAGACAUGCAAAUGGUCACAAGAUUAUUAGAAUAUUAACUCUGAGCUUAGGGAGAAGCUUCGGUUUACUGUUAUUAGUUACCUCCUUAGUUAGCAACAAGCAUAUUUUCCAAACACGUACCGGAACCCCCACCACAUCUCAAUGUUCCCAUCAAGCUUAUAUAACGAGAAAAAAAAAAAAAAUCAAACCAAGGAGACUUCUGUAAAAAGCAAAGCUUCUAAAACCCCAGAAACUGUGUGCUCCAAAAUUUUCAUGCAGAAUUUCUCAGACACUGUACCCCACAGGGACACUUUUGACCACAUCCAAACCAUGACCACCACAGCAUACUUAUUCACUGACAUGGGUGGAACCCAGAUUCAUCUUCUGGACUCUUCUUCCAGUUUACACGUAUGUUCAACAACAGCAAACACGAAAAUACUCCCGGGGAUCCACCUGUUAACUUCAAACUGCUAAGAGCCUCCCCCUCUCCUCCUCAGUAAACUUCUAGAAUAGGUAGCCUGAAGGAAGGCCUUAAUGAAUUUACCAAAAGUUUCCUCCCUUCAGACCAGGGAACCUGUCCGGAUAAAAGCUUCAACAGUAGAAAUACGUGUAUACAAACUCAGGCCCUCAGGCUAACACGCACUGAUCCCGAGCUGUCCACAAAGGUCAAGCAGCCCCAAGUCAUGGUUCCAAGUAUGUGCUCUGGGAUCUGCCCACCCUGGAUACCAGUCAGGGAGUCCUCACACUAUCUAUCACCUCUGCCAGAACCUCGCAUGUGUGAAAGAAACUGUUCCUUCUCCAGGUUACAGCCAUGUUUGCGCAGUCAUCCUGUCUGGCAUCUCGAGGCCCCAUUUAGUGACAGAGCGACAUGUUAGCCAUCCGGGCUAUUUUUCACCCUUUGGUUGGUAAAUAUGGAUGAUUCGACAACUAUCUGGUCUACCAAGCUGGCUACCCAUCCAUUUCCAUUGCUACUGCGUCACAAGGACUGGAGGAGGAGGAGGAGGAGGAGGAGGAGGAG
ensembl:lncRNA